AUUGAACGCUGGCGGCAUGCGUAACACAUGCAAGUCGAACGGUGUUUGGUGCUUGCACCAGACAUAGUGGCGGACGGGUGAGUAAUGCGUAGGAAUCUGUCUUAGAGAGGGGGACAACCCGAGGAAACUUGGGCUAAAACCGCAUAUUCUCGAGAGAGGAAAGCAGGGGACCGGAAACGGCCUUGUGCUCUAAGGUGAGCCUACGUCGGAUUAGCUAGUUGGUAGGGUAAAGCCUACCAAGGCGAUGAUCUGUAGCUGGUCUGAGAGGACGGGCAGCCACACUGGGACUGAGACACGGCCCAGACUCCUACGGGAGGCAGCAGUGGGGAAUAUUGGACAAUGGGGGGAACCCUGAUCCAGCGAUGCCGCGUGUGUGAAGAAGGCCUGCGGGUUGUAAAGCACUUUCAGUGGGAAAGAGAAGCGUCUUGUGAAUAAUGGGACGUGGAGACGUUACUCACAGAAGAAGCAACCGGCUAACGUCUGUGCCAGCAGCCGCGGUAAUC
rnacentral:rRNA from 1 species